rnacentral:rRNA from 1 species
AACGAACGCUGGCGGCGCGCCUAAUACAUGCAAGUCGAGCGAGAAGACGUAGCAAUACGUUUGUAAAGCGGCGAACGGGUGAGGAAUACAUGGGUAACCUACCCUCGAGUGGGGAAUAACUAGCCGAAAGGUUAGCUAAUACCGCGUACGCUCCUUGGACUUCGGUUCAGGGAGGAAAGCGAUACCGUGGGUAUCGCGCUCUUGGAUGGGCUCAUGUCCUAUCAGCUUGUUGGUGAGGAACGGCUCACCAAGGCUUCGACGGGUAGCUGGUCUGAGAGGACGAUCAGCCACACUGGCACUGCGACACGGGCCAGACUCCUACGGGAGCAGCAGUAAGGAAUAUUGCGCAAUGGGCGAAAGCCUGACGCAGCGACGCCGCGUGGGGGAGUGAA